ACAGGAUUAGAUACCCUGGUAGUCCACGCCCUAAACGAUGCCAACUAGGUGUUGGGGAAGGAGACUUCCUUAGUACCGUAGCUAACGCGUGAAGUUGGCCGCCUGGGGAGUACGGUCGCAAGAUUAAAACUCAAAGGAAUUGACGGGGACCCGCACAAGCGGUGGAUGAUGUGGAUUAAUUCGAUGCAACGCGAAAAACCUUACCUACCCUUGACAUGCCAGGAACCCUGCUGAGAGGUGGGGGUGCUCGAAAGAGAGCCUGGACACAGGUGCUGCAUGGCUGUCGUCAGCUCGUGUCGUGAGAUGUUGGGUUAAGUCCCGCAACGAGCGCAACCCUUGUCAUUAGUUGCCAUCAUUUAGUUGGGCACUCUAAUGAGACUGCCGGUGACAAACCGGAGGAAGGUGGUGAUGACGUCAAGUCCUCAUGGCCCUUAUGGGUAGGGCUUCACACGUCAUACAAUGGUCGGUACAGAGGGUUGCCAAGCCGCGAGGUGGAGCCAAUCCCAGAAAGCCGAUCGUAGUCCGGAUCGGAGUCUGCAACUCGACUCCGUGAAGUCGGAAUCGCUAGUAAUCGUGGAUCAGCAUGCCACGGUGAAUACGUUCCCGGGUCUUGUACACACCGCCCGUCACACCAUGGGAGUGGGUUUCACCAGAAGUAGGUAGCCUAACCGCAAGGGGGGCGCUUACCACGGUGGGAUUCAUGACUGGGGUGAAGUCGUAACAAGGUA
rnacentral:rRNA from 1 species